rnacentral:tRNA from 1 species
GAAAAGGAAACUUAAAGGUUUAGUGGUGUCUUUGAAAGACAUUUUUAGGGGUUCGAUUCCUUUCCUUUUUU